GGGCCCGCACAAGCGGUGGAGCAUGUGGUUUAAUUCGAUGCAACGCGAAGAACCUUACCUGGUCUUGACAUACACAGAAUCUUGUAGAGAUACGAGAGUGCCUUCGGGAAUUGUGAUACAGGUGCUGCAUGGCUGUCGUCAGCUCGUGCUGUGAAGUGUCGGGUUAAGUCCCAUAACGAGCGCAACCCCUAUUUCUAGUUGCCAGCGGUUCGGCCGGGGACUCUAGAGAAACUGCCAGCGUAAGCUGUGAGGAAGGUGGGGAUGACGUCAAAUCAUCACGGCCCUUACGUCCUGGGCCACACACGUGCUACAAUGGUGGGGACAACGAGUCGCGAACCCGCGAGGGUAAGCUAAUCUUCAAACCCCAUCUCAGUUCGGAUCGGAGUCUGCAACUCGACUCCGUGAAGUUGGAAUCGCUAGUAAUCG
rnacentral:rRNA from 1 species